GAUGAACGCUGGCGGCGUGCCUAACACAUGCAAGUCGAACGAAGCACUUUAACUUGAUUCUUCGGAUGAAGGUUAUUGUGACUGAGUGGCGGACGGGUGAGUAACGCGUGGGUAACCUGCCUCAUACAGGGGGAUAACAGUUAGAAAUGACUGCUAAUACCGCAUAAGACCACAGGGUCGCAUGACCCGGUGGGAAAACUCUGGUGGUAUGAGAUGGACCCGCGUCUGAUUAGGUAGUUGGUGGGGUAACGGCCUACCAAGCCGACGAUCAGUAGCCGACCUGAGAGGGUGACCGGCCACAUUGGGACUGAGACACGGCCCAAACUCCUACGGGAGGCAGCAGUGGGGAAUAUUGCACAAUGGGGGAAACCCUGAUGCAGCGACGCCGCGUGAGCGAAGAAGUAUUUCGGUAUGUAAAGCUCUAUCAGCAGGGAAGAAAUGACGGUACCUGACUAAGAAGCACCGGCUAAAUACGUGCCAGCAGCCGCGGUAA
rnacentral:rRNA from 1 species